UACGGGGGGAGCAAGCGUUGUUCGGAUUUACUGGGCGUAAAGGGCGCGUAGGCGGUCAGCACAAGUCAGUUGUGAAAUCUCCGGGCUUAACUCGGAAAGGUCAACUGAUACUGUGCGACUAGAGUGCAGAAGGGGCAACUGGAAUUCUCGGUGUAGCGGUGAAAUGCGUAGAUAUCGAGAGGAAUACCAGUGGCGAAGGCGGCUUUCUGGGCCUACCCUGACGCUGAGGAGCGAAAGCGUGGGGAGCAAACCGG
rnacentral:rRNA from 1 species